UGAAGCCUUUGUCGUGUUGAUGGA
rnacentral:siRNA from 1 species